AGUUCUUCCACUUCUAUGAACGUAAACUUCAGCUGAAUGAGGUAGCUGAUAGUGAAUGACGGUUCGAACACCAGGAAUAUCCAAACCUCUGGCUGCAACAUCUGUAGCAAUGAGUAUACCAUGCUCAUGUCCCCGAAACCGGUCAAUUGCCUUAAGUCGAGCUCUCUGUUGCAUCUGGGCAUGAAGUGUCCAGACAUUGACGCCAAGGAUGCGCAAGAGGGAGGAGAUAUGGCGUAAAGCUGCAAUGGACGUACAGAAGACAAUUGUCCGACCUUGUCCAUGAACACUCAAAAUGUAAUACAAAUACCCAUCUUUAUCUUCAUCCCUGCAGUCUAUAAACGACUCCUCGAGCUUGUUGGCUAGAAUUGAUGCAUUAGUCAGAUCAAUGAUUGCCGCAUCUGCCCUCAUUCCUGCUCUCUCAGACAGAGUUUCUAUUGAAUUCAACUCAUCGUUU
rnacentral:misc_RNA from 1 species